rnacentral:rRNA from 1 species
AUUGAACGCUGGCGGCAGGCCUAACACAUGUAAGUCGAGCGGAUGACGGGAGCUUGCUCCUUGAUUCAGCGGCGGACGGGUGAGUAAUGUCUAGGAAUCUGCCUGGUAGUGGGGGACAACGUUUCGAAAGGAACGCUAAUACCGCAUACGUCCUACGGGAGAAAGCAGGGGACCUUCGGGCCUUGCGCUAUCAGAUGAGCCUAGGUCGGAUUAGCUAGUUGGUGGGGUAAUGGCUCACCAAGGCGACGAUCCGUAACUGGUCUGAGAGGAUGAUCAGUCACACUGGAACUGAGACACGGUCCAGACUCCUACGGGAGGCAGCAGUGGGGCAUAUUGGACAAUGGGCGAAAGCCUGAUCCAGCCAUGCCGCGUGUGUGAAGAAGGUCUUCGGAUUGUAAAGCACUUUAAGUUGGGAGGAAGGGCAGUAAGCUAAUACCUUGCUGUUUUGACGUUACCGACAGAAUAAGCACCGGCUAACUCUGUGCCAGCAGCCGCCGUAACAC